rnacentral:rRNA from 1 species
UCGAGAAUUUUUCACAAUGGGCGAAAGCCUGAUGGAGCGACGCCGCGUGGGGGAUGAAUGGCUUCGGCCCGUAAACCCCUGUCAUUUGCGAUCAAACCUUUCCCGCUAACACCGGGAAAGCUGAUAGUAGCGAAAGAGGAAGGGACGGCUAACUCUGUGCCAGCAGCCGCGGUAAUACAGAGGUCCCAAGCGUUGUUCGGAUUCACUGGGCGUAAAGGGUGCGUGGGUGGUAGGGUAAGUUCGGUGUGGAAUCUCUGGGCCCAACCCAGAAACUGCAUUGAAUACUAUCCUGCUAGAGGUUUGGAAGGGGGACUGGAAUUCUCGGUGUAGCAGUGAAAUGCGUAGAUAUCGAGAGGAACACCAGUGGCGAAGGCGAGUCCCUGGACAACACCUGACACUGAGGCACGAAAGCUAGGGGAGCAAACAGG